rnacentral:rRNA from 1 species
GUCUAUGGCCAUACCACCCUGAACGUGCCCGAUCUUGUCUGAUCCCGGAAGCUAAGCAGGGUCGGGCCUCGUUAGUACUUGGAUGGGAGACUUGUGUUCAAGGAAUUACUCUGGCUU